rnacentral:lncRNA from 1 species
GUCUUGUCUUUGGUACUUCUGCAGGUUUCACUCCUUUUGAGCCGAUCUUUGACGUCUCGUCACUUUGUUGAUCAAACCUGCAAUUAAGCACAACUUAUGAGCCUUUUGGGACUAUUUUGUAUGAAUUUAUAAUCAAAGCGUAAGCAAGAAGGAGCAUGAAACACGUCAAAAUCCCUAGUUAUCAACUCCCUCAAACUUAAGCUUUUGAUUGUCCUCAAGAAAACAAAAUAAGACCCACCCCUUAAGGGAAAAUCCAAAAAAUUUCAGAUAUCCUAAAGUAACCUCAACUAGCCUCAAUUGGGACUAACAAUUGCCCUCAAUACAAAUGAAUCAUUAACAACAUUUAACCUUUGCAAGACCAUGGAUCAAGUUUGACACAAGAGCAUCAAGAGUUAACUCAUUACAUCAAAGAACUCUAUCAAUUACUUUGGUCAUUAUGGAACCCAAACUCACACAUCCUUAACUCUCCCUAAGCAAACCUCACCUUUUAGAAUAUUGGCACACAAACCGAGGUUAAUGGGAAUUCACUCAUCUCUCUCAAGAAAAGGUCACAAGUCCGGCUCUAAGUACCAUAUGCUUGCCCCUUAUGUAAGUAUCCACUAAUGUAAGCUUCAUUUAACUCAAGAUCAUAUAGGGCUUUAGUGGAGUCAUUGUGAAGGCUUUUGGUUCAGGGUAGAAAAUGUUUUGAUCUAAGUGGGUUCCAUCUUCCCUUAAGCACUUCUUUUGAUUCAUUUGGAACACAUUCUCUUAACUCUUUGAGUCAUCUCACUUCUUUCUAAGGGGUUAGAGGGACAUGUUGUCACUCUUUCUUGUGCAAUUCAAAUCGUUUCUCCUUUUUCAACUUUCCACACCUUUCAUUCUUUUGCUUUUCUUGAAUCCCUUUUUAUUCUUUUUCACAUUGAGCAUUCUUUUUGUCUUUUUAUUUUCUUUUUUUUUUCAUUGCCUUUCCUUUUCUUUAUUUUUGUGACUUUUACCACUUUGUUGCCACCCUCAUAUCUCCCUUUAAACUUAUAAUUUUGCAAUGUGCUCAAGGAAAGAUUGGGUGCCAAGAGAGGGUAUCUUUUAGAACGGGUAUAUGCUUGUCUCAUGGUUCUUGAAAGAAAAGGGUCUAAGGCUCAAAAGGGUUGACUAGGGAUCAUAUCAUUGGUAGGCUAUGGAAUUUUUCAAGCUAUUAUUUGGAUCAAGGAGGGCCUAUAAUCAUGUAUCAAGUCAAAAUUCACUUAGGAUUUCGCCUCAACAAACAUUCGGGGCAAGUUCUAGACUAAUAGCUCGGGACUUGGAUUUGAAAUUCAAUUACUCACCACACAAGCUAAAGGAUCGCUAAAGACAUAGAGUCAGGGGCCCACAAUGACCUUAGAUACGAUUUGAGCACACAAUGGUCCCGAAUAACCACUUGAUGAUUAUCGGUCAACACAAGAGUCUCAAGGUCACGACUUUCACCAUCCUAAACACAACAUUUUGUCUUUGACCAUGGGAUCAAAGGCAAAUGUGCUAGGCCCAAGUGAAGCUUUGCUUGAGGUAUCCUUAACUAUAAACUACUAAAAACAAAAACAAAAAUGGACUCAAACCCUUAAGAAGGUUGUCACACUAUCCAUCGUUGGGAAGAGCCACCCGGUUCACACAACACUCCACCUUUGGAAAGAACCAUGGCAUUAAGAAAACCAAAGGCUUAUUGAAAAUGUCUAAAACAAAACAAAAGCUACGAACAUAAAUAAGAAGCUAAAAAUGAGAAAAUAUUUUUUUUGCGGAAAAUAGAAUGAAUAUAUACAAUAGGGAGUUUGAAUAUACAACGGGGAAUAAAUAUAUACAAUGAUGUAACCUUAUAUACAGACCCAAAGAAAGAUGCAAAUUCGAUAAAAGUAACUAAAUAUCAAAUUAUAUACAGACCAAAUGUGAAAAUCAAGAAAGCAUAAAAUGAAUCAAUAUAUACAGUCAUCCACUAAUGUAGGGCGCACCCCCUCAAAUAAAAGCUGGCAUUAUCCCUAAUUCCAACUAGUCCAAAUAAGCAUAAAAAAUAAAAAAAAGGAUAUGAAGACUCCGUAAGUCGUGUCUGUCUGCAUAUGCUCAUGGGUGGUCCCUAGGUCCUUUGUGUGCUCGGGAACCUCAGACUGGUUCCCGGUGUCCUGCUGUUCAGCUACUGGGACCUGGGCCUGGACCUGGAUAGGCUUUGGAUUUGGUAUAUCCUGUGGCUGACUGGAGGAAGCCUCCGGUGGGUCCGCCAACUGGAUGAUGGCAUCAUCUGCUCUAGGGAUUUUCCUCCUCUUCGGAGGCCUCUAGGUCUGCUUCGGCUAUGGAUGAGCUUCUGAGACUGGGUCAUCGAGCAAUAGGUCCAAAGGUAGCUGGUCUGCAUUCAGUCUAUAUAUGUAUGCCCGCAGCUCCUUCACGGACUCCUUGGAGGCCCGUGUCUUCCUAAGCUUCUUAUGCUCUCGAGCAAGCUCCUUCAGAGCCUUGCUGUGUGAAUCGACUGCCUUGGUCAAUGCCUCCUGAGUAGUGAGGAUUUUCUUCUGGUUCUCAAGUAUCUCUUUCAAAGCAUCCUCUAUCGACUGGGGCACCUAUGGGGCUGGAGGAGUGUCACGCCCCGACCCCAAGAGGUGCGACCGGGGCUCAAUCGAGUGAACCCAACUGAGCAAGCCUUAUCAAACACUACCCAUCUAACUCAAUAUGAAUAAGGAAACAAUGCUUUCAUUUAUUUAGACCAGGAAAGAUAGUACAUUCAACAUUUUAGUUCAUUUUAUUUCAUAACAUUAAAUCAUAGUUAAGUGUCAAAGAUUCCAUACAGUUAUAGUUUAAAAGAAAGCAAGAGUACAAGGUUGCAACAUGGUUCAUUGACCUAUCCAAUACCCGUACAUAACCCACACAAACGUCUACAGAGCCUCUAAGGAUACAAAAGACAGUGAUGACAAUGCCGGCAACAAGGCCCCGGCUAUACCUCAAAAUGGAUAUUUGUAACAAAAGGAUGUAGCCACCUACAUUCAUUUAAAAAUGUAGCGCCCCCGACAAAAGGGGCAUUAGUACCAUGGAAUAGUACUACUAUGUAUAACUAAACACCAUCUAGUAAGAAAGAACUAUACAAGCACAGGAAUUCACAAAUAUAACUCAAAACUUCAAACGCUCACCACAUUAUCAAUCAAAAGAAUCGUGCAACUUCCACAUCGUUUUUCCUUAGCUUUUUAGUUUGGGGCAUUCCAUACUCCUCAUCAUUUGUUCACAAUACCACCGCUAUCUUGAGCGGAGUCCGAUCUCAACCCGAUCGGCUAGGUCACCUCAUUUGAGACAUAUACUUCAAUCACAAUCUCAUUUUCCUUCUUUUCCGGAAUUCAUUCACAAUACCACCGCUAUCUUGAGCGGAGUCCGAUCUCGACCCGAUCGGCUAGGCCGUCUUUCCAAGGCAUUGUUCCCAUCGCAUUAAUCACUUCGUUUCACUUAUAUCAUUUCAUAGGCACUUGGUUCCAAAACUUAUCACAUUAUCCUUGGCACUAGGCCACAUUUUUUUUCUUCGUUCCCAUAUUCAACAUUAGCUUUGCCACUUAGGAUAGUAGGUGCACACAAAAGCAGUUUAAAUCAUAAGCAUAGAUAAGACUUCACGUAGAUGACACACCAAUGCAACUUCAAUCUAAAUUUAAGGUCUAAGCAUUCAAUACAUGAUUCAUAUUCCAUAAUUCAUGUUUCACAUUGUUCCCAUUUUCAAUAUUUACUUUUCCACUUAAGAUCAUAGGCGCAUAGGAAGGCAAUUUAAAUCAUAAGCAUAGAGAGGAAUUUGUCAAGUUUGGCAUAUUAGUCCCAAAGUAACCUUGGCAUGACAUUUAGGCAUUAGCACAUAGACCAUGUUCUCCACACAUCCUCCAUAUACAAAGAAUAACACAUUAAAUACAUGAAGAAGUACCUACCACGUACAUUUUCACAAUAAUAAUCCACCCUUAAUCUUAUCGCAUUUACACAAAUACCAACGUAGCUCAAUUUUAAAAGAUGGGCUUUUAGCCAUGCAUACCUCAACCGAGCUUUCCUUAAUCUUACAACGUUCCGGAAUGUUCGCACUUCAAUCUAUUUAAGCAAUAUAGCACAAUUUAACUCAUAAUCAAGAAAAGAUCAUAAUCUAAUCUCUCUUGAGCAUUUUACCGAUCAAUUAGUGUCACACCCCUUUUUUCUACAAACUUCACUAAACCCUCUUAAAUAAAUAAAGUGAUUUAAUAAAGCUCGAAAAGGGUUUUCAAGUGACAAAAUUGUGUUCAAAAGGAAAUAACUCAGAGUCGCCACCUGACUUUGAUUUCGGUGUGCCAGGUUACCGUUUUUUAAAAAUGAUUAUUUCCUUUUAAAACAUUUCAAACUCUAAAACAAAGUCUGCACCAAAGAUUCAGGUAAGGGAAUUCAUUUGACUUGGGGAGAAGGUGUUAGGCACUCCCCAAGUCCCGUAACUAGUACGGUUGCAUACUUGAUCUAGUCGGAUUUUAAAAUAUUUGAAUGGAGGUAAUAACACACAAAAAAAAUAAACAAUCAAAAGAGACUCGAGGUCGUACCCACCUAAAUGAAAGAAAACUAAAAGAAGAAAAAUUAAAGUUCUAAAUUAUCCUACUCUACUUAUUCUACGAUGUUCGCCACGGCGUCCAAUUACAUUCACUUCAGGGCAUACCCCUGAAAUAAAAUAUAUACAAAUCCUUCGGGGCAUUCCCCGGAUAAAUUUAACAAAGGGAACGACCUCUCGCCUCGAAACUAACAAAAUCCUAAGGCUUUCCUACCCGAGUAUGGUCAACCUAAACAUGAUGCUAGCAAUCCAGAUUAAAUAAAUAAAUAAAAAGAAAAUAAACUAUCCCAUGGACAUUCAUUCUUAUAUCCAACUUUCUUUAAUCCGAGCCUAGCUCCCAUGGACUAAUACUUUUUUCACAAUCUGAGCCACCAACCAAUCAUUAACUAGUUAAUUUAACUUUCCGUCACCAAAAUGUUAAUCUUGAAACCUUACAGUAUCUCUUAAUAAUGAAUUACAACAGUAAUUAUAAAUUCAUCUUGGCCAUUACACAUUCAAACACAUAUUAAACUUAAACAACAAGAACAAACGAGAGCAAACCAAUACCAAGACGUCAUUAAAACAGAGCAAUAAGCAAUAUAUCAAAUACUAAGCAUGAUAUUAAGCAGAAUCACACAAUAAACAUUCAUGAAGUAGAGUAAGAAACGGACCUUUAGUCAAGCUUUCCAAAUUAAAAAUUUCCUUCGAGCAGUACACACAAGGGAUGCCAACAGCAAAACAGAACUACAACUACUAAAAUCAGAUCAAAUAAAUCGCAACAGAAACUCGAACAAGACCUAGCGGAACCUCUAACGACUUCGAAUCUCGACAGCGAAGAAGCCCGAACUGCUGUUCGUACUUGAAAGGUUUUAGAGCUAUUUCUGAGGUGUUGUUUCAUUGCGUUUUCAGACUAUUUCGGGGUGGUUUGCGGCUGUCAGCUCCAUGUCCUUUCAACUGUUCGUGCGUUUUUGUGUGUGUCACGGCGCUUCCGGUGAGUUCGUCAGUGGUUCGAUGAGAGGAGGAGUCGAAGGGUGGUUUGGUGGCUGAAAUUCAAGUCAUAAAGGGAAGGGAGUGAGGCUCGCUGUUUUUGGAAUGGGUUGGUCGGUGUUUGGCUGCUGAUAGCUAUGUCGUUUUAGUUAAUCAACCAUGAAAAUGGCUUCUUGAAGAAAAAGAAGAGCAGGGGAGGGUCAGGUCUGUGUUUGGUUGUCAAACGGUGCUGGGUGUCAAGAUGAAGAAGAAGGCAGCCUUGGGCGUCCUUGGUUUUUUUGUGAAUUGUUUUCCUGGAGGCUUUUUAGGGUUCCUAAGGUUGAAGAUGAAGAAGCUUCUACUCUUGUCCAAACCGCUGAACA